GAUGAUAUGGCCUUGCUUCAGAACCCUGUGGGCUUCCCAGAAAAUCUACAAUGAAACAUUUCUCACCAUCGACACCAUCAGCAUAUCAAGUCAUCUUUGAAGAUUUAUAUAGCCAAUUCCAAAAGUAUGAGAGAACAAUGCAUACAGGGACAGAAGCCUGAGUCACAGCGCCAACAAGGAUGUUCCACCAACUAUGAUAUUUUUCCACAUGAUGACUGGUGAAAUCUUUAGUAAUGGGGCUGCCAACUCAUGUCAUGGAUUAUUCAUGCCCCAUAUUCCACUCAAUAUGACCUCAUCCUUACCGGUCUGGACUGUUGGAUUCCAGUCACUUUAUCUUGGAGACAAAAAGGGAAGAUUCAGUCUGAGAAUUUAGAUGUAUCUGGUGAUAGCAUACAUUUGCUACAUUUGAAGAAAAUAUUUGAAAAAUUUGUUAAAACACCCAGCAAGAAGGAAGACCAACAUAAAGGAAAAUACAGAAAGGAA